UCCUCCUCCCUUCGACCCCGGGUGUCCCCUCGGGACGAGCCUCUGGAGCGGGAUCCUCGGCCGGGGGGCUCCGUGAAAGGGCUCGAGGGACUUCGGGUUCAGCAUCGGAAGGGACUUCAACGGCGACAGCAAUCGGAGCAGGCACAGCCAAGCUUGUCCCUUCUGUCCUGGCUUUCUUCACCGACCCCGAAGUCGAGGCAUCUUUUCUCUUGUGGGUCUUGAGACCCUGGGCUAACCUCCGAGCCACGCUUGCAUCCAUAUCUGCGAUAAAAGAAAAUCAACAUGGCUCAG
rnacentral:lncRNA from 1 species